rnacentral:rRNA from 1 species
GACGAACCGUCCUAACGUUGUUCGGAAUCACUGGGCUUAAAGGGCGCGUAGGCGGGCAGCCAAGUCCGGGGUGAAAUCUUUCGGCUCAACCGGAAAAUAGCCUUGGAUACUGGCAGUCUCGAGGGAGGUAGGGGCGGGUGGAACUUCCGGUGGAGCGGUGAAAUGCGUUGAUAUCGGAAGGAACGCCGGUGGCGAAAGCGACCCGCUGGACCUCUUCUGACGCUGAGGCGCGAAAGCCAGGGGAGCAAACGG